rnacentral:rRNA from 1 species
UACGAAGGGUGCUAGCGUUGUUCGGAAUCACUGGGCGUAAAGCGCGCGUAGGCGGCUUUUCAAGUCAGGGGUGAAAUCCUUGGGCUCAACCCAAGAAUUGCCUUUGAAACUGUAAAGCUGGAGUACUGGAGGGGAUAGCGGAGUUCCUAAUGUAGAGGUGAAAUUCGUAGAUAUUAGGAGGAACACCGGUGGCGAAGGCGGCUAUCUGGACAGUAACUGACGCUGAGGCGCGAAAGCGCGGGGAUCAAACAGG